rnacentral:sRNA from 1 species
GAAAGCGAUUUUUAUCACUUUUUAGUAAAUAUCAACUGGACAAACGGCACCACAAUUGAUGUACUGGACACCGACACGGUAUUUGUGUCGUUUUUUCAUAAAAGGUAAUUUUGAUGUCUAAGAUUAAAGGUAACGUUAAGUGGUUUAAUGAGUCCAAAGGAUUCGGUUUCAUUACUCCGGAAGAUGGCAGCAAAGACGUGUUCGUACACUUCUCUGCAAUCCAGAGCAAUGGUUUCAAAACUCUGGCUGAAGGUCAGCGUGUAGAGUUCGAAAUCACUAACGGUGCCAAAGGCCCUUCUGCUGCUAACGUAAUUGCUCUGUAAUAACGUCUGGCUGAGAACGACAAAACCCGCCUUCAGGCGGGUUUUUUUUG